UACGUAGGGUGCAGGCGUUAAUCGGAAUUACUGGGCGUAAAGCGUGCGCAGGCGGUCUUUUAAGUCAGAUGUGAAAUCCCCGGGCUUAACCUGGGAACUGCGUUUGAAACUGGAAGGCUAGAGUGUGGCAGAGGGGGGUGGAAUUCCACGUGUAGCAGUGAAAUGCGUAGAGAUGUGGAGAAACACCGAUGGCGAAGGCAGCCCCCUGGGCUAACACUGACGCUCAUGCACGAAAGCGUGGGGAGCAAACAGG
rnacentral:rRNA from 1 species